CGCUAGGCUUGACCGGGAUGUUUGGCGUAUCCUUCUACACCGAAACCGUCAAUAUGCGGGGGUGACAGCAGGGGACGGCGUUCACGGAUCUCUCAGGCCCACAAAGUGACUAUGAGGCCCUGUCUUGCGGGGCCGGCGUCUGUACACCGGACAUCCGGAGGGAUGUCGCGGAUACACUUAUCGCGGGAACCGGGCCAGGCCCUGACGGGAGCAGCCUUACCGUGAACUACCGACGCUCGCGAGGUAGCGGGGCUGAGGAUCAAUGUGGUAAACCUGCGGGUUGAAGUGGCGUCUACCCCUGUGGCCUAGCU
rnacentral:SRP_RNA from 1 species